GAUCGACCUGCCAAUUCAGAUAGUGACAGUGAUGGUGGAGUAGAUCCCCCACAGUGUGCUCUGCAAGACUUCAUACGGAUCAAGGGCACAGCAGUGCAGUUGGGCUUUCAGUGAAAUGCCCAGACCACAGUGGACCGCCAGACAUCUCCAGGUCUCGAGCUGAAGGUCCAGUCCAG